UACAGAGGUCCCAAGCGUUGUUCGGAUUCACUGGGCGUAAAGCGAGUGUAGGCGGUUCGCUAAGUCGGAUGUGAAAGCCCUGGGCUCAACCCAGGAAGUGCACUCGAAACUGGCGAGCUAGAGUACUGGAGAGGUUGGUGGAAUUCUCGGUGUAGAGGUGAAAUUCGUAGAUAUCGAGAGGAACACCGGUGGCGAAGGCGGCCAACUGGACAGAUACUGACGCUGAGACUCGAAAGCGUGGGGAGCAAACAGG
rnacentral:rRNA from 1 species